rnacentral:lncRNA from 10 species
GGUGUGCGUGACCAUGUGUUUGAGCAGGUAGUCGCGUAGAGAGAAGGAUCGCCAGCACACGGCGCACUGGUGCGGCUUCUCCCCUGCGGAAGACAGGGCGGGCCGCGAACGCAAGUCAGACUCUACAGCUCCCCGCCCCCACCCCACCCCACCCCCACCUGGGCUCCUGGACCUAGCAGGGGCUCCCCUCCCCUCCCGAACCACCACCCCGGGAUCCCUUGCCUAUCAGAGAACCCUCCCCUCACUAUGGGAUCUUCCUGCCCAGCAGGGACACCCCCUCCUCUCCAGGACCUCCCUUCACGUUGGGACUUUCCUGCCCAACAGGGAUCCUCAUACACUGUGAGGUACCCCUCUCCCAUCCCUUCCUGGCAGGGACCCCCUUUCUGUUAUCCUGGGAUAUCACUGUGACAGGGCACCCCUAAAUCCAGCAAGCACCCUGUCUGCAAGGAACCCAGCCUGUCUGGAACAUCUGUUGGCCAUCUGGACUGCCCACUGGGAUCUCCCUCUACCCUCAGGUUUAACUCUCCGAUGAGAGAUUGCUCCCUCUCCUCCCCCGCCCUGGCUCACCCGAGUGGAUGAACAUGUGCUUGGUGUAGUUUUUCCGGGAGCUGAACGUCUUGCGACAGUGGCUGCACUCAUACGCGGGCGGGAUCCAGACAGUAUGCAGUCGGGCUGGACAGGGGUCUCAGUGGGACAGCCUUCGGGGACAGCGCCAUCCUCGUCGUGCCAAG